GUGAGGCAGCUGCCAGCCCGGAGCAGGGAACGGGACGCGGCAGAGGGAAGGCAGCUCCGGAGGCACGGCACACACAGCGGCACCCCGCCGUGCCUUCAGGCAGAGACGCGGGUGGCAGGACGGCGCUCUGCAGGUGCCAGCCACGGCGGGCACGGAGCUCUGCAGAGCUGCCUGCCGAGGGUCCCCUUCGCGUCCUUCAGAUCGAAGGGAAGAAAGGCACCCGAGACCAAACGUUUGAGAGCUCUCAAUUACGCUUCUCUACCUCUUCGGUGCUUGUUAUCCAAAGCAGCCCGAGGAGCCACAGCACUUCCCAACCGUGCCCGUAUUUGGCAUAAAAGCAGCAUUUCGUUUCAUUGUUUCAGGCAACCUCAUCUAACUUGGAAAACGCGCCGUGGGAACAACUUUCUCCUCGGAUCAGAAGACCGAAGCAAUUCGCUUCUUAAGAAGGCGGCGGCGGCCGAGCCGCGCGUGGGCAGGCAGGGGCGCGCAGGUGGGGCGGCGGGGCGCCCGGCACCGCGGGACUCCGCGCCGCACCGCCGGCACCGCGCGGCCCGAGCGCGGCACGCGGCUCUGCGUGGCCGGGAAGCGCCCCCCCCGCCAGGGCUUCGUCAGGGGGCGCGGCUCCAGCUCCUCUUUAUUGGUAAUAAAAAGGAUGGAUUCCCGCUCCCAGCCGCUUCGCUCACCCUAUUCCUAGGAGGAGGCCGAGACCGCGCGCGGAACCCCGCUGCCCGAGGACGCCCUUACUCGGUGCCGAGGUGCCGGAGCACGGAGCGGCGGCGCGGAGAGCUGUUCGGACGGAAGGACGUAGGACGGCUGCGGCACCCCGAGGCGCCCCGCGCCCGCCGCUCCCUCUCGCCCUGCCCCAACGGCCGGGCCCGGCGCCGCCCUCGCCCCCGCGGCCGCGCAGCGCCGCCCGCCGGCACCCGGCACCCCGCCCCGCUCAACGGCCGCCCCCGCGCCGCAGCCUCGGAACCGCGGCAAGGAGGCAGCGCGGAGCCCCCCGCCCCGCCGCGCGGCCCCGGCCCGCUCACCUCCGCCGGGCGGCAGCACGCAGCCGGCCCCGCCGCCGUCUCCUCGCAUCGCGCCGCCGGAGCGCAGCCGAGGGCAGCGGGCGGGGUUGCGCGCACGCGCGCGCGGGCGGGGCCGCGGCAGGUGACAGCGCGGCCGGGCUGCUGCGUCCCGCCCGGCUGA
rnacentral:lncRNA from 1 species